CUAAUUUCUCUUUUUUUUACUAUUUGUGCUUCUACAAGCUCCACAUACCCCACAGCCGUAAAAGCCCAUGCGUUCGUUGAAUGGGUUUGUAGUCUUUGUGUUCGUGUAAUUAUUUGUAAGACUGUUACAUAAAUUGGGUACUCCCCGAUAUAUUAUUCUGGGUUUGUCUGGUAAAAGUGUAUUCAAUGUUUCGUCACUUUUUAAAAUGGGCCAAUGUUUAGAGAUUGUUUCUUUACUUGGUUGCCCUGAACAUUAAAAUCGCACAUAAAAGAUAUCUAAUUAUUUUCAAAUGUAGCUGGUUUAUGUUUGUAUUCUAAUAGGGACUCUCUGUCUCUGAUUGAUGUUUGAUGGUAAGCUGUC